rnacentral:rRNA from 1 species
CCCGACUGCUAUUUGGGUGAGGAUAAGCCAUGCGAGUUGAAUGGGAAACCUAAAGUUCCCAUGGCAAACUGCUCAGUAACACAUGAUCAACUUACCCUAUAGAGAAAAAUAACCUCGGGAAACUGAGGAUAAUGUUUCAUAGUUGAAUUGGCUUGGAAAAGUUUUUCGACGAAAGGGGUAAAAAAAUGGUUUUUAUCUGCUAUAGGAUAGGAUCGUGUUCGAUUAUGGUUGUUGGUGAGGUAAUGGCUCACCAAGCCGAUAAUCGAUAGGGGCCGUGAGAGCGGGAGCCCCGAGAUGGGUACUGAGACAACGACCCAGGCCUUACGAGGCGCAGCAGGCGCGAAACCUCCGCAAUACACGAAAGUGUGACGGGGUUACCCAAAGUGUUCAAUUUUGAACUGUGGUAGGUGAGUAAUGUUCCCUACUAGAAAGGAGAGGGCAAGGCUGGUGCCAGCCGCCGCGGUAAAACCAGCUCUUCAAGUGGUCGGGAUAAUAUUGGGCUUAAAGUGUCCGUAGCCGGUUUGGUAAGUUCCUGGUAAAAUCGGGUAGCUUAACUAUCUAUAUGCUAGGAAUACUACUAUACUAGAGGGCGGGAGAGGUCUGAGGUACUAUAGGGGUAGGGGUGAAAUCUUAUAAUCCUUGUUGGACCACCAGUGGCGAAGGCGUCAGACUGGAACGCGCCUGACGGUGUGGGACGAAAGCCAGGGGAGCGAACCGGAUUAGAUACCCGGGUAGUCCUGGCCGUAAACGAUGCAUACUAGGUGAUGGCACGGCCAUGAGCCGUGUCAGUGCCGUAGGGAAACCGUUAAGUGUGCCGCCUGGGAAGUACGGUCGCAAGGCUAAAACUUAAAGGAAUUGGCGGGGGAGCACCACAAGGGGUGAAGCCUGCGGUUCA